ensembl:lncRNA
CGUUUUAUGCAGUUUUGCCGACGCGUGCAUGUUUGCUAAUCACUGUUGUGUUUUUUCUGGGUUUCAGGUGACUCCGACGUGAGUGACGGCUCCGCCCCGCCCCCUUGGCUGUAACUGCUGACGGCUGAGACCCUCACUGCCCGAUCGCCCUUCAACCCACACACACACCCACACACGCACCCACACACGAACCCCCGCUCACCGAUUGACUUAAAUAAAUCUCCCAUAACACCGAAACAGCCUCCUGUGUGUCUGUGCUCCGCCCAACGCUGGCUAAAAUUGCUACAAGAGGCAGACAUAUCCAAAACGUGAGACAUAGGUGUGGUCAAACAGGCAAAUGGUCACGCGAUUGGCAAAUGGGCAUAACGAGGCAAAACAGAAUCGAAAUACUUCACCUCGAACAAUGAGACACGAGGGGUUUAAAUGACAAACCUAAUCAAGGGAGAACACAAAACAGCUGGUACUAAUGAUAACACAUAAGGGACAACCAAUGGCAAUACAGGGGUGGAGACAGGACAGAAAUCAUAACAAAUGCAUGUGUCAAAAGUAAACAAAUUCAAUGUCACUAAAACCCAGAAGCGCACGCUCACGCUUCGAGCUUUGAGCGCUAUGUCCUCAGUGUAACCGGCUGGCAGAACCUGGUUGGCCAUGACAUCGACCUCAGACAGGAACAGGGUUUGGGAGUCCAUCUCUUCGACCUCAAACUGGAACUGGGCAUAUGAGGUCACCUUGUUGUAUUCUAGCAGGAACUUGACUUGAGAGGCCAUCUCAUCGACCUCAAACAGGAACAAGGUUUGGGUGCCCGUCUCUUCAACCACAGACUGGAACUGGGCGUAGGAGGUCACCUCAUUGUCCUCUAGCAGGAACUGGGCUAAUCCAAAAUGUGAGACAUAGGCAUGGUCAAACAGGCAAAUGGUCAGGCAUAAACAAGGCAAAACAGAAUCGAUAAACAAGGACGAGAACAGGAUCAAAACUAUGGCACAGAAACAAGGAACAAAGGUUCGAUGGAUCUUCCGGGAACUGUAAGGGUUUUUACUCUAGUGUUCGCUGUUUGUGAACCAACAACCCAUGCUCUGUCCCUCGGGUGAAAGCUGUAUCGCCUUUGUAUGCUCGCUGCUAACCGGGAAAGCCUUGGAUUGGGCGACAGUGGUAUGGAACAAUGAUUGCCCAACCUUCCUGUCAUUCGUGACUUUCUUCAACGAUUUCGGGAGGUGUCUGAGC